rnacentral:rRNA from 1 species
AACUGGCAGACUAGAGUACUGUAGAGGGGGUAGAAUUUCAGGUGUAGCGGUGAAAUGCGUAGAGAUCUGAAGGAAUACCGGUGGCGAAGGCGGCCCCCUGGACAGAUACUGACACUCAGAUGCGAAAGCGUGGGGAGCAAACAGGAUUAGAUACCCUGGUAGUCCACGCCGUAAACGAUGUCUACUUGGAGGUUGUGGCCUUGAGCCGUGGCUUUCGGAGCUAACGCGUUAAGUAGACCGCCUGGGGAGUACGGUCGCAAGAUUAAAACUCAAAUGAAUUGACGGGGGCCCGCACAAGCGGUGGAGCAUGUGGUUUAAUUCGAUGCAACGCGAAGAACCUUACCUACUCUUGACAUCCAGAGAACUUUCCAGAGAUGGAUUGGUGCCUUCGGGAACUCUGAGACAGGUGCUGCAUGGCUGUCGUCAGCUCGUGUUGUGAAAUGUUGGGUUAAGUCCCGCAACGAGCGCAACCCUUAUCCUUGUUUGCCAGCGAGUAAUGUCGGGAACUCCAGGGAGACUGCCGGUGAUAAACCGGAGGAAGGUGGGGACGACGUCAAGUCAUCAUGGCCCUUACGAGUAGGGCUACACACGUGCUACAAUGGCGCAUACAGAGGGCGGCCAACUUGCGAAAGUGAGCGAAUCCCAAAAAGUGCGUCGUAGUCCGGAUUGGAGUCUGCAACUCGACUCCAUGAAGUCGGAAUCGCUAGUAAUCGUGGAUCAGAAUGCCACGGUGAAUACGUUCCCGGGCCUUGUACACACCGCCCGUCACACCAUGGGAGUGGGCUGCAAAAGAAGUAGGUAGUUUAACCUUCGGGGGGACGCUUACCACUUUGUGGUUCAUGACUGGGGUGAAGUCGUAACAAGGUAGCGCUAGGGGAACCUGGCGCUG